CGUGGGACAGGGGCGUCCGAAGGUGCCGGCUCGGAUGGGCUCGGCUCGGCCGCCGCCACACCGCCCGGGCCUCCCGGGCCUCCCCGGCCUCCCGCCCUCGCGCCCCUCGGGAGGCUGUAGUCCUGCCCCCGGCGCGGCCAGCCCGCGCUCCCGCACACCCCGCCCGCUCGCCCGCGCGUGUGUACGUGCGCCGGAGGCCUGGAGAGACCGGAGUUUAACGCCCAGUCUUCUUCCUAAGUUGGAGAAAUGGGAAACGAUUUGAAAGCUGCCAACCGGAGGUGAAAAUCUUGCCACUUGUGAAACUGAAGGAACAUCCCCAAGGCCUGGCUUCUCCUUUUAACAGAAGCUUUCUUUCAGGGUCCCCCUCCUGGAUGUGGCAGGCCUCCCAGAUUCCCCUGGAAGUUCUGACUUGCCCAUACACACAAGGACCUCAGGAAACCCAAUAGUGACUUUCCUCAGAUCUGUGAAUUCCUUCUUCUGGAAAAUAACCUUCUCAACAAUUGUAUAAUGGAGUCCUUUAUGUUGUAAACAAGAAUAAAAAAGAAAGUAUAGAUAUUGUGGAGUAGUUUUUUUGUGGGGGGGGGGUCCUUUCUUUAAAAACCGUGUGAAUAUGUGGUUCUCAAUCAUUAUAUCCAAAACAUUUUACUAUUUUUCUUGUAAGCCUUGUAUUUUAUUAAUAUUUUUGUCAAACAAAUUAAAUGGUAAUAAUACAUCCAUUUUACAUGCCAGGCAGAACUUCUAAAUAGCAGAUAAAAGACCUGUUACCUCAUCAAGGUAAUGAAUUCCAGCCCAAACAAAGACAUUUCAAGAUUUUUUUUAGCUUCAGUAGCGUUACCUUGGGAAAAAUAGUCAGUUUUUAAGAUUUUGUGGAAAUACAGGAAAUAGUGUCUAUUUUUGCAAAUCAUUAUGGAUAUAGGAACCCCAAAUCUAUUGAUAUAGACCUGCUUUUUCCCUCCUUUUUUCAUUUAACAAAAACUUAGUCAUGGAUUUAUUGUGCAUGAAGCCUUCUUAGGUUUCUACAAAGAUCAUAAAGAAAUAUAACAGG
rnacentral:lncRNA from 1 species